UUAUUGUGAGCAGGAGGAAAAGUGGAGGAGAGCUGCUGGACACAUGUGUCCUUGAAGGCUGGAUCUUCCAAGUCCCACCCCUUCCUUUAUCUCUCUCUGCUUCACAGGUCUAUGAGUUGAGCCGCUCUGAUCCAUCUCUGCCAUGAUAUCGUUUGGCUUAAAUAACAGAACCAACCAACAAUAACCUGAAACCUGACUAUGCCACUAAAGAAUUCCCCUUGCAAGUGAGGGAAAAUAAAUCAAGCAUGUGGAAGAUGUGGGACAUGAAUUCUCCAGCAGCAGAAAAGACGGGAAAGAGAUCCCUAGGGUAAUGGUGAAGAGGGAGCCCAGGAUAACCAUCAAGUGCCAGAUGCAAGAGGCAAGCAAUUUAGGCUGCAGUCAGCCAGGAGUCUGAGUAAGAUUUUAUACAUGAAAAUUAAUGGACUCUCUGGCUCAUAUCAGUGGCCUGAGAGAGUGAGAAAACUUGUGAAGAGUAAUUACAUGGUAAACUCACAGGAAGCUAACAACAGAAAUAAAGACCGUUAUUACCUCCAAAGUAAUAACUAUACAGGAUACGACUAAAUCCUGUACAGCA